GCAUUCACAGUGACUGCGAGAGAAUAUGGCAGGAGGUUUUUGCAUCGGCCGACCAACAACAACUACUCCAUCUGAGGGCCGAGCAACUGUACCAAAGCCCCUUGGCGGAAUCUGCCACCACAGUGGUAAGGACAAACCGCCUGCUUUCUGGUUUCCUUCUCCCCAGCGUAAUAUCCAGGGGUUUCUGUAUUCAGCAUAAAAGCAGGGAAAGUGACUUGCACCUCUCUCUCUUCCAGCAACAUCUGACCAGCCUGUUGCACGCCAUCCUCAGGAUGGAGGAAUACAAGGCAGCUGUGCACCAGCACUUCCCACAGCUGCUGAUCGCUCUCCUGGGAAUGCUUAUCAACUUCCCCUAUGACCAGGAAUUCCCCAGAUGAGUAGUGCAUUGCAAAGCGGCCAAUAGAGUCCUUUUUCCCUUCAGCCUCUGGGGGUUUCCAGUCCAGUUGGUUUUCCAAGGGAGGCUCUCCUUCAGGCGGCUACUAGGGAGCAAGGAUGGGGAAUGAAUUUGAUUCUGUUUGCAUGUCAAGGCAGAUCUGCAUAAUUCACAUUUUCUGGAAAUAACAACUUCUGGGGAAGCCUCGUAAACAUGGUUUUCCACUUUGGUUCUUGAUGUUCUGACUUACAAUAAUCAAAUACCAAACAGUACAGAAAACCAGGAUCUUUUGAUGCUAUCCUGCUGAGAGCAGCUCUUUUUUCUUUUUCUUUUUUCCAGAUAAGAGGUCCUGAUUCCCAAAGCCUGUGGCAGUGACCCACCUGGUAAUACUGGCCUUGUUUUGAAUACAGAGAGGCUAAGGAACAUCUGCACCACCUUCUCAGCACCACUGGAGAGAAGCUAGAGACAGCCAUCAUAGACCAAUUUUUCUGCCCGGAGAAUUUCAGCCAGGGGUUGUCUGCCAUGGUGAGGUAAGAGGAAGAACACAGUGACCUUCUAAUGGUCUGGCAAAUGGAGCUCAAGGCAUGGGAUAGGAAUGUGUCCCUGAAAGUGAUACUGUUGGAUUCCUCCCAUGGUGGAAAACAUCACCGCUGCUCUUAAGAACAAGGAGUUUGGCAGAAUGCCACAAGCAGCUGGAGCUAUCUACAUCGAGGUGAGGGGGACUGACGCAGGAGGAAAUGGGUGCAGCAAGGAGGCCCUGACUUGGUUUCUGCUGAGAGUUGGGCUUUGUGUUCUUCAACUCUGUCUUUCCCAGAGGGACGUGUCCUUCCACUAACAGCAGAGAGUCCCCCAAGGCCAAAUUCUGCAUCUCUUCUGCCACAUCCAUGCCAUCUUUGGCUACACUGAAGACAUGGUGAAGCAAAGUUUGGUCUCUGACCAAUACAACCAUGUUGUGGUUGUCUUACAACAUAGCAGAGGCAUCUUUAUUGAUGAGAUCUCUGCGGGUGAAGGGGCUUUUGUGGUCUCCCUACACAAGGCCUUCCUGCAACAUUGUUUUUGGGUGGCCCCAAGAAGCGCAGCUCCCAAGGUUCCCCAUUUAAAGGCUUUCCUCCGGAUGCAGACAACAGAUACUCGCCCUCCCCAGUUUAGACGGCAACCCCAGUGGGGGUUCUCCAACAUGCCCCCAUCAGAGUUUGGACCUUGCACCUACAUUUAACUUCAAUAUUCUGUGGCUUACGUCAAAGCUACUUAGAGCCUAAGGAUUGUCUACAGUUUUGGUGUUCCUCAGAGUAGACCCAUUGGACUUAAUGUACAUGGUGAACUUAGGUCCAUUCACUUCCAUGGGUUUGCUUCACACAGAACUGUGUUGGAUACAACUCUCCAUCUGUAGUAAGAAUACAGAUGGUGGAUAAACCGAGAACCUGUCUAAACCUUUCAUCCCUGAAGAACACACCUAGUGCAACCACAUAUAGGCAGCUUUUCCAGCUGCAUGCAAGUUUACAUGUUUCUUGUAACCCUCUGACGGUAAAUACAUCCAGAC